GCGUCCAUAGUCUAGUGGUAGGACCUAAGCCUUCCAAGCUUAUGGCCCGGGUUCGAGUCCCGGUGGGCGCA
rnacentral:tRNA from 1 species